GGAAUAGGCUUGGAAAGCUGUCAAGUGUUGGCUCAGUCAAGCUUUGGCCAUUCGCAAAACGUCAAUCCUCGUCCUGAAAUAACAUUGCCACCAAAGUUCUAACUAAACAUUACUGUUCUUGUAAGAUUCGAAGAAAUGACAGAGGAGUGAUAAAGUGCUACUUGAUUAUACGUGCAAGUCUAAAUCCAGAGAUAAUAUGAAAUUGAAUCUAUAUAUCGUCAUAUUAUUUGCAAUAAUAACAACUGCAAUAUCUAUGAUACCAGUUAGAGUGCUAUGGAAACAAAAGAAAAUAAAGACAAGCAUGCAGCUUCGUAGACCGAAGUACGCAAAUCGAUGUCACGAUGACACAACUAUCAUUUCGAAGAUUUGCAAGAAUCUUUCUCAGAUAACGUAAACGUUUCACAUGCAAAAUAAUCAACACAAGCGAUACUUGAUAUCAUAUGCAUGUAUUUUCUUACGUGCACAGUAUUAUUAUAUAUUAGUUUAUGAUAAAUUAAUGAAAGCUUUAAUAAACUUUUUGGUUCUGCUAUUUUAAUUUUAUUUUUUUCAUUACUUAGUGUAUUUGUUACGAGACUUUGCUAAGCUAUCGAUAUAAAUUGGAUUACAAUGAGUAUUGUAUGAGAGCAUAUUUCCCAACGGUACAUAUAUGUAAUAAAAUUAUACACAUAUAUACAAACAAUUAUUCAAGCAGAUAAUUUGGUAUGUUAUUACGAUGGAAUCGUUAAUCAUUUACGUUAAAACGAUCACUAGAUUACAUUAAUGUAAAAAUGGGGAAAGAAUAUUACACAUUAAUAUCAUCUCUUGUAUACACACAUACACUUAUAUUUUUUAAUAAAAUUAAUAACAACGUUUACUUCAUAUGUUGUUCAUAUUGUUGUAUAUACAAUAUGUUUGAAUUAUUUAAUAUAAUACGGCGAUGCGUGAAUAAUUUUUCAAGCUUUCUUCAGAUCAGAGAGAUCGUAUUUAGUCAAUAAGUCUCAUAUCUACUCGUAAAUCCGAACGCUCAGAAUCUGUCAUGAAAACGUUCGAACAUAAAGUGACUAACUCACUUCGAAAACUGGGUAAAUGCCUCAUCAUAUGGAGUCAAAGCAACGCCUUCUGCGGCAUGAAUAUUUACUAGCGGAGGUGAUUUUUGUAAGUUCUGAAGGACUACCGAGUUCUGAAUGUAUCUCAGUUCCUUUCAACGGCAGGCUGUAGCAUAUUUCAGAGAUUUCCGUGGCCCAUUUCUACAUACCUGUUUCAACGCAUUUUAUUUCGUACAUUAGCAUUCGUUCUAUUUUCACCGCCAUCAUUGCGAGUAAGAUGUGAGGUUUUUACCGCACUCUUGAAAAAUGGAAUUUAAGUGAAGAGAGUUAUUUUCACGAUUAGCAUAACAGGUUAUUUUAAUUCAUUACAACGCUAAUAAAUGUUACUUUUAUCAAUAAAUGUUGCUUUGAUCGUCCUCUUUUUAGAAUGCAAUGUUAAUGUGUAGUCAUAUUAAAAAAUUUAAGUUGGAACCUUAAUGCAAAUAAAAUAUUAGUUUAAAGCACAAUGUAUUCAUAUGUAUGUUACGGUAUUUUCUUUCAUAAAUGUUCCCGAAGCAAAUAAAUGGGCUGGUUUAAUAUGAAUCAUCUUGUAACGUCAAUGACGUCGCGUUUUACCAUGGCGAUAGAGGCAGCCCGUUCCACUUUGAAGUGAACUGCGAAACGACAUUGGUUACGAUCGAAAUAAAUGGCCUCCGCGAUAGAAGAUGGAGGAGGAACGUUAACGUGAUGGAGGUAGAAUUCGUCGUAGUUUUAUUCUGAUGUUGGGCUCACGUUCAAUCGUGCAGGUGGAAAGGGGGUUGCAGGGACGGCGGAGGUGGUUAUGGGAGUAGCGGUAAGGCGCUGCAGACUCUCAAAGUCGGUUCGAUCUGCCGAUUGCUAAAAGAAUCAAAUCAAGGGCGUGGUUCCCUUGCAAAUUUUCUCGCGUUUGUGUCACGCAUUCGUUUGAUUAGCACACUUUGUCGAGCACAGCAAUUUCCGCAUACGAGAAGUUUUAGUUUUUUAUCUUAAUGGAGUCUGCAUAAAUUCUUACAUGUUUAUGGCGAAGUAAUGUAAGCGAUACAAUGAAAGUGUGUGGGAAAUAACCAUAAGACAAGUAUAUCAUAUCUCUACUUGCUAUUCUUCACUUGAUCUGCUUUUCCGCGAAGACACACAAUAUGAUAGAGAACAGGGAUAAAAAGUUAGAAGCGUAAAUAUUUAACGGGGAUUCCUCUUAUCCCACAUGCUUCGGUAAUUCCACAAUUCUUUGAACUUCUCUUUCAGUAUGUACAGAUAAAGUCUCAUACACACAUCGAGAAAGCGUCGUGGAAUGUACAAUAAAAACAGACACGCGCGGCUAUCAUGUAUGGUAUAUAUACAUAUAUGUAUACAUAUUCUUAUUUGAUAAGUAUGAAAAGAAUGUCGUUAAGUGCAAUUGUGGGUGAGAUAAGAUUCGGUAUUUCCCGUCCGCACAUAUAUGCGUAAUUAAGUGUGAAUAUGUACAUAUAUGUAGAUAUACAUGUAUUGAUAAGUAUAUAUAAACGUUAUUCGAAGGAGAUAACAUGAUAACUUCUCCAAUUUGCAAGUGCGCGCGAGAGAAUAUACCUUAAGCUUCACAAGGAUUCACAAGGAGCAGCCAAUCGAUGGCGGUUUUCACAUACCAACCACCAGUCCAGCGCCCGCCUCCAGGUAGCUGGAAACCAUUCCCAACUUUCCCCGGUCAGGGACCUUUUAACCCAAGGAUUAAGUUUCCUUACUAGG
rnacentral:lncRNA from 1 species